rnacentral:rRNA from 1 species
UAGGGAAUCUUCCACAAUGGGCGAAAGCCUGAUGGAGCAACGCCGCGUGGGUGAAGAAGGUCUUCGGAUCGUAAAACCCUGUUGUUAGAGAAGAAAGUGCGUGAGAGUAACUGUUCACGUUUCGACGGUAUCUAACCAGAAAGCCACGGCUAACUACGUGCCAGCAGCCGCGGUAAUACGUAGGUGGCAAGCAUUAUCCGGAUUUAUUGGGCGUAAAGGGAACGCAGGCGGUCUUUUAAGUCUGAUGUGAAAGCCUUCGGCUUAACCGGAGUAGUGCAUUGGAAACUGGGAGACUUGAGUGCAGAAGAGGAGAGUGGAACUCCAUGUGUAGCGGUGAAAUGCGUAGAUAUAUGGAAGAACACCAGUGGCGAAAGCGGCUCUCUGGUCUGUAACUGACGCUGAGGUUCGAAAGCGUGGGUAGCAAACAGG